rnacentral:lncRNA from 1 species
GGGGGGGGGGGGGGGGGGGGGGGGGGGGGGGGCAGCUUGGGGGGGAGGUGAUUUGGGCACUUUAUUCUGAGGGGUGGUGUGGGAUUUUGAGGGGGGUUCCAGGUGGGAGUGGAGUCUGUUCUCGCAGGGGGAGGAGGACUGUGAGACUUGGCAGGGAUUAUUUUGAGGAAGGGGCUCAGAGCUCUGCCUUGGGGGUGCCCAAAAUAGUUGUCUUUUUUCGAUUUGCAAACGAGAUUGGGGGGGUGAUUAAAGUGAGGAGGCAGUAUAAAAUUGGAUUUUUUUCUUGGAAGGCUUUCAGGAAAGGUGUUCACCAAAGCCCACCCCCACAGGGGUGAGGGCAUUUUUACAUCUUCUGGGACAUUGGUGCCAUUUCACAGGGAGUUGAACCUUUCCCUUGGCCCGGGGAGGCUUUUCCAAGGAAAAACUACUUUUGGUGGAGGAGGAGGAGUCUUGUGGAGGAUUUCUGGGCUCGCUGCCUCCACGAGGAAUCCAGCAGCUCCUGUCUGUGGUGAUUCCCACGUGGAUCAGGUCGUGGUGCAUUCCUGGGUGACGAAAGUGCCUCCCACAGCACGGGCAGAGAGGGAUUUGGGGUGAUCCUGUUGAGCCAGGAUGAGUUUGGGGGAUCCUGUUGGGUCAGGAUGGAUCCUGUUGGGCCAGGAUGGAUUUGGGAUUGUUCUGUUGGGUCAGGAUGGAUUUGGGAUUGUUCUGUUGGGUCAGGAUGGAUUUGGGAUUGUUCUGUUGGGUCAGGAUGGAUUUGGGAUUGUUCUGUUGGGUCAGGAUGGAUUUGGGAUGGAUCCUGUUGGGCCAGGAUGGAUUUGGGAUUGUUCUGUUGGGUCAGGAUGGAUUUGGGAUUGUUCUGUUGGGUCAGGAUGGAUUUGGGAUUGUUCUGUUGGGUCAGGAUGGAUUUGGGAUUGUUCUGUUGGGUCAGGAUGGAUUUGGGAUUGUUCUGUUGGGUCAGGAUGGAUUUGGGAUUGUUCUGUUGGGUCAGGAUGGAUUUGGGAUUGUUCUGUUGGGUCAGGAUGGAUUUGGGAUUGUUCUGUUGGGUCAGGAUGGAUUUGGGAUUGUUCUGUUGGGUCAGGAUGGAUUUGGGAUUGUUCUGUUGGGUCAGGAUGGAUUUGGGAUUGUUCUGUUGGGUCAGGAUGGAUUUGGGAUUGUUCUGUUGGGUCAGGAUGGAUUUGGGAUUGUUCUGUUGGGUCAGGAUGGAUUUGGGAUUGUUCUGUUGGGUCAGGAUGGAUUUGGGAUUGUUCUGUUGGGUCAGGAUGGAUUUGGGAUUGUUCUGUUGGGUCAGGAUGGAUUUGGGAUGGAUCCUGUUGGGUCAGGAUGGAUUUGGGAUGGAUCCUGUUGGGCCAGGAUGGAUUUGGGAUGAUUCUGUUGGGUCAGGAUGGAUUUGGGAUGAUCCUUUUGGGUCAGGAUGGAUUUGGGAGAUCCUCUUGGGCCGGGGUGGAUUAGUUGAGGUGGUGCUAGGGCAUGGGUUGGACCCAAUGAUCUUAAAGGUCUCUUCCAACCUUGUGGUUCUGGGAUUUCUGUGGUUCUGUGAUUCCGUGAUUUCUGUGACUGUGAUCCCAUGAUUCCAUGACUCUGUGAUUCCGUGAUUUCCAUGACUCUGUAAUUUCAUGAUUCCAUUAUUUCCAUGACUCUGUGAUUCCAUGAUCCCGUGACUCUGUGAUUCCAUGGCUCCAUGAUCCUGUGACUCCAUGACCCCUGACUCUCUAAUUCUGUGAUCCCAUGAUUCCAUGACUCUGUAAUUCCAUGACCCCCGACUCUGUAAUCCCAUGACCCCCUGACCCUGUGACUCUGUAAUUCCCUGAUCCCAUGAUUCCAUGAUUUUGUAAUUCCCUGAUCCCAUGACCCCUGACUCUGUAAUUCCGUGAUCCCAUGAUUCCAUGACUCUGUGAUUCCAUGAUCCCUGACUCUGUAAUUCCAUGAUCCCAUGAUUCUGUAAUUCCAUGAUUCCAUGACUCUGUAAUUCCCUGAUCUGCCCCUGAGCAUCUUGCUCACAGCACUGACGUGUUGUGACUCAAAGUGAUGAUAUUUGAUGCACUCAAACCAAAAUCCAGUUCCU